rnacentral:lncRNA from 10 species
CUGGCUAUCUACACUAUCCUAAGCAGCACAGACUUAUCUUCCUUUUCAUGCAUAUUUCAAUUUAAAAAUAUGCAGUGAUUUAGCUUCAACUUACUGUUAACUUCUCAGCAGGUAUUUCAGAGUAGUUAAACCUUCUUAUCAAGGUUAUUCUGGUUACUAUCAUCGGGUGGCAGACCAUGAAGGAAGUAAAGCUUUUUGAAGCUUCUUGGGUGCCAUGGACUAUCACAAACCCUGCAUGAGAAUUGGAACAAGGCAGCUUGAGACUCUGACUUCAAUUCUAGGAGAGAAAAGAACUUUGUGUCAAAGCAAAAGUUAAAUGGGAUCCAAUUAAACUAAAGAGCUUCUGGACAGCAAAAGAAACUAUCAACAGAGUAAAGAGACAACCUACAGAAUGGGAGAAAAUUUUUGCAAGCUGUGCAUCCAGUGAAGGUCUAAUAUCCAGCAUCUAUAAGGAACUUAAAUUUACAAGGAGAAAAACCAUUAAAAAGUGGGGAAAGGACAUAAACAGAUGCUUCUCAAAAGAAGAUAUACAUGUGGCCAAAUAAACAUAUAUAAAAAGCUCAACAUCACUGAUCAUUAGAAAAUUGCAAAUCAAAUCCACAAUGAGAUACCACUUCUCACCAGUCAGAAUGGCUAUUAUUAAAAAUAAAAAGUCAAAAAACAACAGAUGCUGGUGAGGUUGUGGAGAAAAAGUAAUGCUUAUACACUGUUGGUGAGAGUGUAAAUUAGUUCGGCAAUUGUGGAAGACAGUGUAGUGAUUCCUCAAAGACCUAAAGACAGAAAUACCAUUCCACCCAGCAAUCUCAUUACUGGGUAUAUACCCAAAGGAAUAUAAAUCGUUCUAUUAUAAAGAUACAUGCAUAUGUAUAUUCAUUGCACAACUGUUCACAAUAGCAAAGACAUGGAAUCAACCUAAAUGUCCAUCAAUGAUGGAGUGGAUAAAGAAAAUGUAGUACAUAUAUACCAUGGAAUACUAUGUAGUAAUAAAAAAGAAUGAAAUCGUGGCCUUUGCAGGAACAUGGAUGGAGCUGGAGGCCAUUAUUCUUAGCAAACUCACACAGAAACAGAAAAAUCAAAUACUGCAUAUUCUCACUUAUAAGUGGGAGCUAAAUGAUGAGAACACAUGGACACAUAGAGUGGAAAAACACAUACUGGGGCCUUUUGGAGGGUAGAGGGUAGGAGGGAGGAGAGGAUUAGGAAAAAUAACCAAUGGAUACUAGGUUUAAUACCUGAGUGAUGAAAAAAUCUGUACAACAAACCACCAUGACAAAACUUUAUCUAUGUAACAAACAUGCACUUUUACCCCUGAACUUAAAAUAAAAAUUAUAACUAAAUUUGUUUCAAAG